rnacentral:rRNA from 1 species
ACAUCGCCUCUUGUUAAAUUAUAAGAGGUCCCGCCUGCCCCGUGACUAAUUUUAACGGCCGCAGUAUCUUGACCGCGCAAAGGUAGCAUAAUCAAUUGUUCUUUAAAUUGGGACUAGUAUGAACGGCACCACGAGGGUUUAACUGUCUCCCCCUCUUAAUUAAUGAAAUUUAUCUCCCCGUGAAGAAGCGGGAAUUCCCCUAUAAGACGAGAAGACCCUAUGGAGCUUUAAACUUAUUACCACUUAUUUAUAAAAUAACAAAUCAUUUAAUAUUAAUGUUCUCUAAUAGUUUUCGGUUGGGGCGACCCUGGAGAAAAACAAAUCCUCCAGAUUGAAAGGAAAUAAUCCUUAUACAAGAGUCACAAUUCAAAUAAACAAAAAUUUGACAAAACUGACCCAGAAUUAACUGAUCAGUGAACCAAGUUACCCUAGGGAUAACAGCGCAAUCCAUUUUAAGAGCCCAUAUCGACAAAUGGGUUUACGACCUCGAUGUUGGAUCGGGAUAUCCUAGCAAUGCAGAAGUUGCUAAUGGUUCGUUUGUUCAACGACUAACACCCCACGU